rnacentral:rRNA from 1 species
GGAUUAGAUACCCUGGUAGUCCACGCCGUAAACGAUGUCUACUAGCCGUUGGGAGACUUGAUCUCUUAGUGGCGCAGUUAACGCGAUAAGUAGACCGCCUGGGGAGUACGGCCGCAAGGUUAAAACUCAAAUGAAUUGACGGGGGCCCGCACAAGCGGUGGAGCAUGUGGUUUAAUUCGACGCAACGCGAAGAACCUUACCAGGUCUUGACAUCCUAGAAACUUAGCAGAGAUGCUUUGGUGCCUUCGGGAAUCUAGUGACAGGUGCUGCAUGGCUGUCGUCAGCUCGUGCCG